rnacentral:snRNA from 1 species
CAUCUUCACGCUUCCCAAUCUUA